AGAGUUUGAUCCUGGCUCAGAACGAACGCUGGCGGCAGGCUUAACACAUGCAAGUCGAACGCACCGCAAGGUGAGUGGCAGACGGGUGAGUAACGCGUGGGAACGUGCCCUUCAGUUCGGGAUAACCCAGGGAAACUUGGGCUAAUACCGGAUACGUGCGAGAGCAGAAAGAUUCAUCGCUGAAGGAUCGGCCCGCGUCUGAUUAGCUAGUUGGUAGGGUAAUGGCCUACCAAGGCGACGAUCAGUAGCUGGUCUGAGAGGAUGAUCAGCCACAUUGGGACUGAGACACGGCCCAAACUCCUACGGGAGGCAGCAGUGGGGAAUAUUGGACAAUGGGCGCAAGCCUGAUCCAGCCAUGCCGCGUGAGUGAUGAAGGCCUUAGGGUUGUAAAGCUCUUUCGUCCGGGACGAUAAUGACGGUACCGGAAGAAGAAGCCCCGGCUAACUUCGUGCCAGCAGCCGCGGUAAUACGAAGGGGGCUAGCGUUGUUCGGAAUCACUGGGCGUAAAGGGCGCGUAGGCGGCCUGAUAAGUCGGGGGUGAAAGCCUGUGGCUCAACCACAGAAUUGCCUUCGAUACUGUCGGGCUUGAGACCGGAAGAGGUAAGUGGAACUGCGAGUGUAGAGGUGAAAUUCGUAGAUAUUCGCAAGAACACCAGUGGCGAAGGCGGCUUACUGGUCCGGUUCUGACGCUGAGGCGCGAAAGCGUGGGGAGCAAACAGGAUUAGAUACCCUAGUAGUCC
rnacentral:rRNA from 1 species